AUGAACGCUGGCAGCGUGCCUAACACAUGCAAGUCGAACGGUCCGCAAGGACAGUGGCAGACGGGUGAGUAAUGGUUGGGAACAUACCCAGAAGUGGGGGAUAGCCGCCCGAAAGGGUGGGUAAUCCCGCAUGUUAUCGCAAGAUCAAAGCAUUUAUGCGCUUCUGGAGUGGCCCAACUCCUAUCAGCUAGUUGGUGGGGUAAUGGCCUACCAAGGCAACGACGGGUAGCUGGUCUGAGAGGAUGACCAGCCACAAUGAGACUGAGACAAGGCUCAUACACCUACGGGUGGCAGCAGUUGGGAAUAUUGCACAAUGGACGAAAGUCUGAUGCAGCGACGCUGCGUGAAGGAUGAAGGCUCUCGGGUCGUAAACUUCUUUUGGCGGGGAGUAAUCUUGAAAGUACCCGCAGAAUAAGCACCGGCUAACUACGU
rnacentral:rRNA from 1 species